rnacentral:misc_RNA from 1 species
AACACUGUUAACCUGCGGUACCUGCGGAAGGAUCAUUACAGAGUUGCAAAACUCCCAACCCUUUGUGAACGAACUUGCCAGUUGCCUCGGCGAGGAGCCCCUCAGGGGGCCGACCGCCGGCGGACUGCAAACUCUUUUAAACUACCAUUCUGAUUACUUAUUCAAUAAGUUAAAACUUUUAACAAUGGAUCU